UUUGUUUUAGUAUAAUAUAUUAUUUUAACUUUUCGUGUUAAGGAUAGUUUAUGUCUGACUAAACAAAA
rnacentral:tRNA from 1 species